rnacentral:rRNA from 1 species
UACGGAGGGUGCAAGCGUUGUUCGGAAUCACUGGGCGUAAAGGGCGCGCAGGCGGUUUGGUAAGUCAGAUGUGAAAGCCCACGGCUCAACCGUGGAAGUGCAUUUGAAACUGCCAGACUUGAGUACCAGAGGGGAAAGUGGAAUUCCCGGUGUAGAGGUGAAAUUCGUAGAUAUCGGGAGGAAUACCGGUGGCGAAGGCGACUUUCUGGCUGGAUACUGACGCUGAGGCGCGAAAGCGUGGGGAGCAAACAGGAUUAGAAACCCUAGUAGUCC